GUGGGGAAUAUUGGACAAUGGGCGAAAGCCUGAUCCAGCCAUGCCGCGUGUGUGAAGAAGGUCUUCGGAUUGUAAAGCACUUUAAGUUGGGAGGAAGGGCAGUAAGCUAAUACCUUGCUGUUUUGACGUUACCGACAGAAUAAGCACCGGCUAACUUCGUGCCAGCACCCGCGGUAAUACGAAGGGUGCAAGCGUUAAUCGGAAUUACUGGGCGUAAAGCGCGCGUGGGUGGUUCAGUAAGUUGGAGGUGAAAUCCCCGGGCUCAACCUGGGAACUGCCUCCAAAACUACUGAGCUAGAGUACGGUAGAGGGGAGUGGAAUGGCAUGUGUAGCGGAGAAGUGCAUAGAGAUAGGAAGGAACACAAGUGGCGAAGGCGACUACCUGGACUGAUACUGACACGGAGGUGCGAAUGCGUGGGGAGCAAACAGGAUUAGAAACCCGGGUAGUCC
rnacentral:rRNA from 1 species